rnacentral:lncRNA from 1 species
UAAAUAGUUUGCCAUCUAUAAGAAUCUUGCCUAUGAAAAAUUCCACAUGUGCUUUAUAUAAAUGCCAAGGCUUGAAUAAACUUUAAAUUUAGCAUUCCGUUUCCCUUAAAUAACUGGAGUUUGUUUAUAUUUUUUCAAAUGAGUCUGCAGGAGUCAAGCCAUGCACUUUAGUCCUGAAAGGAUGUUCUUCGGGAUUAAGAUUUUCAUGAGGAUACAUAUGAUAGCAACAACAAGAACAUGCUUGAUAAGGGUUAUUCCUACCAAUGUGGUACAUGAGAGUAAAGCUUGGCUGUCACUGAGCUGAGCUUGGAGAUGGCCCAUGAUGGCUUUGUCAAAAUUUAUCAACUUACGUAAUAAUACUUGGUUUUUCUCUUCUAAGUACAACUCUCCAUGAAAUCAUUUUCUGAAGCUUUUCUCAAAAAGAUGAGUACUGAUUUUAAAGUUUUAGUUGAUGCUUUUAUGCCUGAGGAAGACGGAUAAUAAUAAUUUCCAAGUGAAACGGUCUUCUGAAAGUGGGGUAAAAGAACGUCCAGGCUAGGUUGGUGAUUUUGGUGAUCUUUUAGCCUAGAGACAUGCUAUGAGGGUGACUUAAAGUACCCCUUGUAGAAUAUGUUGAUGUAAGGUGAGGGAAUCACUUUGGUCUCAACUCAAAUUAUGGUAAGCCAUUAACUUCAUUUAAGAAUCUGAAUGAAGUGAUACACAUCAUGUAAUAUAACAUACCUCAAUUAUAUGAUAUGUAUUUUUAUGCAAUUUAAUAUAUUAAUUUUCCCAACUACCAAUUCUAUGAGUUGAUUCUUGUGAAUUAAAGGAGUCUUUCUUAGUUUCUAAUCCAUAUGGCACUGUUAUUCCUUUGAUAUUGCUUGUGCUGGUGCUCCUUGAAUUGCAUCAGUUGUGAUGGGUGCCAUGUAUAUGACUUUAAUAUAUAGGAUGAAAUGAUGCACUUUUGUUACGGAACCUAGGUGAAUCUUGCUAUGUAAAGUUUUAUU